UUGGAAGCUAAGAAUACGGGGAGUCUCUGUUCUUUUUCCCUCCCAAAUUCUUGCUUCUGCUGCAGCACAGUCUGACCGAACAGCUUCGAGGCUCUGCCGCCAGCGGCUUGUUGGUGACAGGGGGACCGCAGGGACGGCCUUCUGGGGUGCCGUGGAAGCCCCCAGGUAGCUGAGAAGUUGAUGGAAUCUUCUUACUGGUCCAACUUUCACUAUUGCUUGUGUUAGAGUGUGAGGUAAAGGUGAGAAGGAGCCACGGGAAGGAAAGACCACAGGGAUACUGCCUUGAUCCAACUUCGCCAUGAUUCCAACAUCUGAGAGGAGGAUAGAGUGAAGGUUUCGCCCAAGGAGGCCCACUCUGCUCUGUGAACCCCAUCCUGUGGGGGUCACAUGUUGGGGGUGGAUGGGGCCUCCGUGAUAGGACUGAGAUCUCAGGAGCUGGGACCAGUCCUGCCAUUGCCGAGUCAGAGGAGGAGCCCGGUCCUACUGCAGGCAUCAAGGGGUAAGGCGAUAGCCCAACUUGGCGUUGAUUGCUGCUUCUUACCAGCUGUGUGACCUGAGCAGGGAAUUGCGCUCCCUGAACCUGUUACCUUAUCUGAGAACCAAGAAGAAUCUAAGUGUGUACCUCAUAGGUUAUGGUAAAGAUUAAAUAAGUUAAUAUAAUCAUAAUAAUAAUGGCCAACAUUAACCCACAUGUACCAUGUGCCAGCUUGGGUUGUAAACUAUAUGUAUUUGCUCAUUAAUCUUCAUACCCCUUGUAUUUUGCUGCUGGGAAAACAGAGGCUCAGAAUGGUGACGCAGAAGCCGGGGACACAAAAUCAGAGAGGACAGUGCCAGGUUUGAACCGAGUAGACUGGCUUUGGUAUCCUGUGCCUGACCACUCUGCCCUUGGACCUCUCUAUUUAGGCAAAACCUGGUGCUCUAAAAAUGCCCAGCCCGCUACCCUUUUCCCUUACCUUCCUCACCUAUGCCCUUUUGUCCCAAAGUGUGCAUUCCAGAAACUGUGUGCUGUCAUUUCUCAGAUACCGGAAGUCCACACAAAGAGUUUAUAACCCAGCCUGGCACAUAGGUUCACAUAGAUUCACCUUAAAUUAUUUUUCUUCUCAGUUUUGUUGUUGUCUUUGUUUUUUUAUUUUAUUUUAUUUUAUUUUAUCUUAUCUUAUCUUAUUUAUUUUAUUUUAUUUUGUUGUUGUUCCUUAAUCAAAAGUACAACUGAGGGCGCCUGGAUGGCUCAGUUGCUUAAGCAACUGCCUUCAGCUCAGGUCAUGGUCCCGGAGUUCCGGGAUCGAGUUCCGCAUUGGGCUCCCGGCUCAGCGGGGAGCCGGCUUCUCCCUCUGACCCUCUCCCCUCUCAAGCUGUUUC